UACGAAGGGGGCUAGCGUUGCUCGGAAUCACUGGGCGUAAAGGGCGCGUAGGCGGCCCGAUCAAGUCAGAGGUGAAAGCCCAGGGCUCAACCCCUGGAAUUGCCUUUGAUACUGUUCGGCUAGAGACCGGAAGAGGUUAGUGGAACUGCGAGUGUAGAGGUGAAAUUUGUAGAUAUCGCAAGAACACCAGUGGCGAAGGCGGCUAACUGGUCCGGUUCUGACGCUGAGGCGCGAAAAGCGUGGGGAGCAAACAGG
rnacentral:rRNA from 1 species